AGGACUGGAAGGGACCUCGAGAGGUCAUCAAAUCCAGUCCUCUACAUUCAGGGCAGCACCAAGCAUUAUCUGGACCAUCCCUGACAGGUGUCUGUCCAACCUA